CAGGGACAGUCGGGGCUGGCUAUGGGGCUGCGCUGCGGGGUUUUCAGGGGGGGUCGGGGCUGGCUGCGAGGGGUCUGGCUAUGGGGCUGCGCUGUGGGGUUUUCAGGGGGGUCGGGGCUGGCUGCGAGGGGUCUGGCUAUGGGGCUGCGCUGUGGGGUUUUCAGGGGGGGUCGGGGCUGGCUGCGAGAGGUCUGGCUAUGGGGCUGCGCUGUGGGGUUUUCAGGGGGGUCGGGGCUGGCUGCGAGAGGUCUGGCUAUGGGGCUGCGCUGUGGGGUUUUCAGGGGGGGUCGGGGCUGGCUGCGAGAGGUCUGGCUAUGGGGCUGCGCUGUGAGG